rnacentral:rRNA from 1 species
UACGUAGGGUGCAAGCGUUGUCCGGAAUUAUUGGGCGUAAAGAGCUCGUAGGCGGUUUGUCGCGUCUGCUGUGAAAACCCGAGGCUCAACCUCGGGCCUGCAGUGGGUACGGGCAGACUAGAGUGCGGUAGGGGAGAUUGGAAUUCCUGGCGUAGCGGUGGAAUGCGCAGAUAUCAGGAGGAACACCAAUGGCGAAGGCAGAUCUCUGGGCCGUAACUGACGCUGAGGAGCGAAAGCAUGGGGAGCGAACAGG